GAUGGACGCUAGCGGCAGGCCUAAUACAUGCAAGUCGAGGGGUAGCAAGAUUGUAGCAAUACAAUUGUUGACGACCGGCAAACGGGUGCGGAACACGUACACAACCUUCCUACAAGUGGGGAAUAGCCCAGAGAAAUUUGGAUUAAUACCCCGUAACAUAGCGAUGUGGCAUCACAUUGCUAUUAUAGCUUCGGCGCUUGUUGAUGGGUGUGCGGCUGAUUAGAUAGUUGGCGGGGUAACGGCCCACCAAGUCUACGAUCAGUAGCUGAUGUGAGAGCAUGAUCAGCCACACGGGCACUGAGACACGGGCCCGACUCCUACGGGAGGCAGCAGUAAGGAAUAUUGGACAAUGGACGCAAAUCUGAUCCAGCCAUGCCGCGUGAAGGAUUAAGGUCCUCUGGAUUGUAAACUUCUUUUAUAAGGGACGAAAAAAGGUCUUUCUAGAUCGUCUGACGGUACCUUAUGAAUAAGCACCGGCUAACUCCGUGCCAGCCGCCGCGGUAAUAC
rnacentral:rRNA from 1 species